rnacentral:rRNA from 1 species
UGAGGGAUAUUGGUCAAUGGGCGCAAGCCUGAACCAGCGACGCCGCGUGGGUGAAGAAGGUCUUCGGAUCGUAAAGCCCUUUUCCCACUGAAGAGGAAGGACGGUAGGUGGGGAAGAAGUCUCGGCUAACUACGUGCCAGCAGCCGCGGUAAAACGUAGGAGACAAGCGUUAUCCGGAGUUACUGGGCGUAAAGGGCGUGCAGGUGGCGUCUUAAGUCUGUUGUGAAAGCGCCUGGCUUAACCGGGCGAGGCCAAUGGAGACUGAGAGGCUGGAGGACGGCGGAGGGUUGUGGAAUUCCAGGUGUAGUGGUGAAAUGCGUAGAGAUCCGGAGGAACACCAGAGGCGAAGGCGGCACUCUAAGCCGUACCUGACACUGAGACGCGACAGCACGGGGAGCAAACG